rnacentral:rRNA from 1 species
AACGAACGCUGGCGGCAUGCCUAACACAUGCAAGUCGAACGAGACCUUCGUGUGUGGUGGCUCACGGGUGCGUAACGCGUGGGAACCUUCCCUUAUGUUUGGAAUAACUCCCCGACAUGGGUGCUAAUACCGGAUAAUUUCUGCUAACCAAAGGUUGAUCGCCUUGGUUUGGGCCGGAGUUGGAUUAGCUAGUUGGUAGGGUAAAAGCCUACCACGGCGACGAUACAUAGCUGGUAUGAGAGGAUGAUCGGCCACACUCGGACUGAGACACGGCCCAGACUAUUACGCGAGGGAGCAGUGGCGGAUAUUGGAAAAUGGGCGAAAGCAUGAUGGAGCAAGGCCGGGAGAGUGAUGAAGGCCGUAGGGUUGUAAAGCUCUUUUACCCGCGAUGAUAAUGACGGUACCGAGAGAAUAAGCUCCGGCUAACUCCGUG